AUGGCCAUGUAGAAGGCAUAUUAGGAGUGUAUGCUACUUUAAGGAGAAGGGAAAGGUUUGUCUAGAAUGAUAAAGGAAUGAGGAUGUUCUGUAGAUGUGAGGAUGUAGCUUGUAGCAAGGGAGUACAGAUUUAAUAGAAUGAUAUCUCUGAACCUGUGCUAUCCUAAAAGAAAAGAUGCAAAGUGGGCAUUUUUUCUUCCUGUAGAAUGUGUAUUAUUGCUUCUCUGCAAGCUUUUAUAAAAAGCUUCUUCAUCAUUUAAUAAAAAUUAAUUCAUUCAAGAGAAAUGAAAGUAAUCGUUUUGCCAUAAAAAAAAAUUUGCCCAAGAAUGUUCACAGCACCUUUUUUCAUAUUAGCUUCAAACUGGUAACAACCCAAAUAUCCAUCAACAGGAGACUGAAUAAAAAAAUUGUGGUACAUUCAUACAAUGGAGUAUUACUCAAAGUAAAAAAAGAACACACUACUGACACAUGUAAAAUCCUGGAUGAAUCUCAAAAACUUUAUGUUGAGCAAAAUAAGGCAGAUACAAGAGCACAUACUGUCUGAUUCCAUUUAUAUGGUAUUCUAUAAUAGGAAAAAUUAGGCUGUGGUGAUAGAAAUCAGAACAGUGUUUGCCUAUGCAGGUGGGAGGAGUAUUAUAGCUGGAAAGGGAAAUGAUAGAACCUUCUGGAAUGAUGGUAAUGUUUUAUGUCAUGAUUGGCAUUAUAUACACAUGGGUGUAUACAGUUAUCAAAAUCCAUUGAACUAUACACUUAUGUGCAUUUUAUUGUAUAUAAUAUAAACUAUAUUUUUAAAACCUUAUGAUUCUCUUUUCCCUUUUCUCUUUCUUUCUCAUUGUCUCACUCUCUGCCUCUCUCUCUCACUCUGUCUCUCCAAUUCCUGAAGGAGACUUUUAGAGCUAGUAUUAAUGUCACAUUGUGAACUAUUCUAAGGCUUUCUAGUUUCUCUCUUUUAUUAGACUCAAAAAUGUGUAGUAUCAACUAUACAACUACUAGGAGAAAACAUAGGAGAAACACUACAAGACAUCAGUCUAGGGGAUGAUUUCUUGCAUAUGACCUCAAAAGCACAGACAAAAGCAAAAAUAGACAAAUGAGAUUAUAUCAAACUAAAAAGCUUCUGCAUAGCAAAAGAAACAAUGAAUAGAGUGAAAAGACAACCCACAGAUUGGGAGAAAAUAUUUACAAAUCAUACGUCAGAUCAGGGGCUCAAAUCCAAAAUAUGCAAGAAACUGAAACCACUUACUAGCAAGAAAACAACUCUUAAAAAUGGGCAAAGGGGCUGGGUGUGAGCCGCCGUGCCUGGCCUGUAUCUGAAUUAUUGUUUCCAAACCCAGCUGCCUUCAGCCUAAACAGUGGCAAGCACUUGUCAUCAUAUCCUGAAGUCAUAGACAUAAUUAUCACACCUCUUAGCUGCAAAUCUAGGCUUCACCAUCAGUUAACUGUUUGAGGCCCUUUUACUUAGUAACCCAAAUACUUGGUAAUUGAGUAUAUGUAGGGAUAUAUUUUUCUUUAAGAUUACUACGUGUGACAUACAUUACCCUGGAAUAGAAUGCUCUCAUUCACAGCCAUUUCUGUUUAACGUGGGAGACAUUUCUGGGUUUUUGCUUCUCUCUGUCUUUCCUAUUCUGUGACUGUCACUGCUCUAUUGGAAUCACUUUUCUCCUGGUGGUGUCCAGUGAUCUUUGGAUGGUCCACUGAAGGUAGAUACCUCCCAGCCCUUUCUGUGCUGGGACUAAGAUGGCACAUACAGUAUUCUGUAGCUCCCUCUGGCCAAAGCAGAAGCUAUCAUCACUACCCACUGUGUAAGAUUCCUCCUGUACAGCAGCACCCUUCACUGGGUAGUGCUUAGUUUUUAAUCUAUAUUUUUUAUUCUUUCUUUUGGAUUUCCAAAUAUAAAAAUACCACCACUACUGCCUCCCGCCAGCACUCCGCCUUGUGAGGAAAGCACUGUGUAACUUUGUUGACAAAUGUCUGCUUAAUUAUGUUUAAUGAUUCAGAAAUAAAACAGGGAGAAGUCCCACAUUUUAAUUUCAAACUAAAGACUGCUAGAAGCCAACAGAAUUUUUGUUUGCUUGUUUUUGUUUUGUUUUGCUGAGACAGGGUCUCACUCUGUCACCCAGGCUGGAGUGCAGUGGCAUGAUCAUGGCUCAUUGUAGCCCUGAUCUCCCUGGGGUCAGUGAUCCUCACACCUCAGCCUCCCAAGUAGCUGGGAAUACAGCCAUGCACUAUACAUUUUUGUACUUUUUAUAGAGACAGGGUUUUGCCAUGUUGCCCAGCUGGUCUUGAACUCCUAGGCUCAAGCAAUCCACCUGCCUCAACCUGCCCCGAUACAGAUUUUUAAAAUGUAGGUGAUUAAUAACUCACUUGUAGCUCUGGAGCUGUUCAACAGAAGUUGCAACUCAAGAACGCUAUUUAGUAAUUAAUAAGAAAAGUUUGGGGAAACAAAGUUCUACAUUGUGCUCUGCUGAUCUUUUUCUUUGAAAUCUUACUGCAGAUGCUGUUUCUCUGCGGAGGCAAGGAGGAGGACCUUGACUAGUCUCUGAUGGGGCAAGGAGUUUGUUCGAUUGUGCCAGUCUGAAAUAUGGCAGGUUAGAGGGGUGGAGAAAGCCAAGUAUUGCAGGGGUAAGAAACGCUAGGCAGACAAACCUUGUCACGAGUUUAGUGAGCCCAGAAGUCAACAAAUGAGUAGGGGCAAGAAACUGGCAGGGCGACCAUAGAUUUCAUAUGGUUAUUGGAUUAAUUUAUUUUUGCUUUAAAAUUUUAUCGAGUGAGCCAUAAUUUAUUGGGCUGAGUUGAGUUUUGUCCAGGGGAUUGAAGUUUGGAUUUAUCCCAGGAAACAGCUUUCAUCUAAAGUCAUGCUCCAGCAAAUUAUGCUGAUUUUAAACGGAGCAGCCUAUUAAAAAUAGGUCAGAUUUCAACAGGACAGUGGAACGUUUGGUUUGAGGAAACUUUGAGUACAUCAGUAACUAUUAUGAGAUGUUCUGCUGUGAUCACGUGGCCUGCCUGUCAUCAGGAAAGGGAGAAAAUGGAGGGGAGGACUCUUACAUUCCAGUCAAUUCACGUAGCCUCUUGAUGCCAAAAAUUAGAAAGGGGAAGCAUAUCAGAUGUGUACAGCUCAAAUUCCAUUUGUACUUAAGGUUACGUAACAGCUCAUAGUGUAAUAGCUUUGGCCCGUGUCCAGUGAGCCUGUAGAUAUUGGCGGCUUUGCGUGCUUAAAAGGCCCCCAUCAAUCAGUCAUGAUGCCUGGUCCUACACCCAGUUGCCAUGUUUGUUUAAGCCGGCUUUGGAGGUUGUAUAAAUAGUGUUAGCAACCUGCUCUCCCACCCUUGGUGAUAAAUGGCACCUUUAAAAAUCCUUUGGCACAUUCUUAGGAUGCGAAGGAGUAGAACUGGAUCCAUUGACAUCUUUGGUGGUUAUCAGCCUCCUUCUGCAUAUGUUCUUGUGGCAUCUCCAGGAGGGAAGUGUGGAGGGUGCCUGGGGCAUCCGUACCGCCCUGGCUUCUUGGGCCUCUGCAGCCUCUGCCUGUCUGAAUCAGCUAGUGGAGUAUCCUGCCUCGUGGAAACUGGCAAGGGCUGCACAGGGGCUCCCAAAUGAAACUGUGACUCAGGACUGGACAAGCGAAUUCGAGUUCACACAGAAUGGAAAGGUGUACUUUUUCCCCUUUAAAAAAAAAAAACACAAAGAUUGCUACAACAUGUUGGCAUUGAUUCAUGCAGUCACUUUUUGUUCUGUACAAACAGUGGCCUUGGGGUAGCAGGAAGAGCAAUGGGCAAAGGACACAACCUCAGUGCAAAAGCCCUAGCUCCCUUGGACCACAGUUGCAUAUCUAGAAAAUUAAGAAAUAACUUCCUCUUGUUGUGAGGUUCCGGCGAGAUGCCAUGUGUAAAGCACGUGUAUCAGUGUUGGACAUUCCACUAUUGGUGACUGGGUGCCUGCUGUAUGCUUAUCCUCCAGGUAGAGCUUCCAGGAGCAAGUGGGACUGGGCGUGUGCAGAUGUAGGGGAAGGGUGUUCCAGGCAGAGGGAACCACAGAAGCAAAGGUGCUUGGGCAGAAAAUACAGGUGUUAGGAAACAUCGGCGAGUGUCCUUCCUCUGGAGCAAAGAACUUAUAAAGGGGAACAGUGUAGGACGAGGUUGGCCUGGAAGUUUGGGGCCAGAUUAUAGAGGGCCUCAAACAGGAGGCUAAAGAAACUGGACUGCCUUUUAUGGGCAGUGAGGAGUUAUUGGGGUUUGUAAGCAGGAGAGUAGUAUGAUCAGAGCUGAGCUUCAGGAAAAUUAAUCUGGCAGCAAAAUCCUGCAAAACCUCUUUGGAACAAAAGGGGUGAAAAUAAAUAAUUUGAAAAUUUGGCAGUCAUGUUUUCAAAUAUGUUCUGAAAUGUGUAAGCUAUAAUAUGUAUUUUGAAAUGAUAACAUCUUUCUUUUUCUGUUCCUGCACAGCAGCCAAAUUCCUUGUUCAUUCUUUAUUUCUUUUCCUCAUUCCCUCCCUCCCUCCCUCUCUCUCUCAUUUUUCCUGUGUUUCUGUUUCUUUCAUUGUUUCUCCUGGUUUCAGUGUGUCUUCCUUUCUCACUCACCCAGUCCCUCCCUCACUCUUUGCCCUGUUCUGUCUUUCAUGGUUAGUGGUGUUUUGGAGGUGUGUCUAAACCGAGCCAGGGACUGCGAGUUCCAGGACAGUCCUUCAAAAAGGUCCAUCUGCUGGUUUUUGUGCCCAGCAUACCCGCUGUGAAUGGACUACAUUACUGAAGGCUGUGAAAUCACCCAAAUUUGAUCUUCAACUCUCAUCAUACAAAGUAUCGGUAUUUUGAAUUUGUAGGUGAAUCAUUUGUAAUUCAUGGGGGCAAUGUUUCUACAAUUGAACUUUCUGGACUCAUCACCAAAAGGUUCAGUCAGCUUCUGUAACUUGUGGGUUAGCAAGUGGAUUCUAUAGAUACGCCCCAUGUCCCUGCCCAGGCAAACUUAAUAAAUGUGUUCAGACCUUAGGUGUUCAUGGAUUUAACUCACAGGUUUGUGAUUCUUUGUGGGUUCCCCUGUGGGUCUGUGGCACAGAGUUGGGCUGAGGUAUGAAUCCGAGAAGUCUACUUUGCAAGACACAUGUUAUGGAAAAGGGUCAUUUAUCCUUAUUGUUCUGCGCAUUCAUGCAUUUGUAACAAUGCUUGUUAAUUAAAACAUUGUGUUGUGUCUGUGAAAAACAGCCAUCAGGUGAGAGCAACAUUUAGUGAAAUCUGAAAGUAGGGUUAACUUGUAGUGUGAGGCUAUGCACAGGAAAACGCAUAUGGCUCUCCAUAGAAAUGUGAUUCAAGCGAAAGCUGGGAGCCUCUAUAAACAUUCUUGUAUUUGUGGAUCUGGGAAUUCAAGAAGGUUUCAGAUGUAUGCCUCAGGAAUGUCAAGAGUCUGCUGUAUAUCCAAAUUUACAAAACAGAUAAAUUAUUGAAUGACUAUUCAGGUUGCAAAACGAUUCUUCAUUUUAUUAAAUAUUUACUGCACAUUUACCCUAGAGAAGUUCUUUAGUAAAUAUAGUACUUGAUUUACAGAAAUUCAGUGCGUAUGACUGUUUCUGGAUAUAUGUAUUGUGUUAAGUGGGAUCCUUUCUCCAUAGCAUGAAGAAAUUUUAAGAUAAUCUUUUCUCCAUUUGAUAAAUGAGUUUGUAUAUAUGAAAGGCACUUGUUCAGUAAUUAUAGAGUUGGUUUUUUACCAUGAGGAAUUUUGUAUCUUAGAUGACUAAUUUUCAAAACUGAUAAAAAAUGUUCCUAUUUGUCGUGUUCAGCCAUCAGCAGUUUCACUGUCCUUUGGCUUUGGCUCAUGUAGUAUAACCAUUAAAACCCUGACUCUGAUGUUCACCUGCUCCGGGACUAAAGGCCUCAGAUUCCCCAUUAGGGAAAGGAGGAUAAUAGUAGUAUCCCCCUCAAAGGUUUGGGAGAAGAUUAAAUGAAAUAGUUCCUACACCUGACACCUGGUAUGGGCUCAAUAAAUGUUAGCUAUUAUUACUAUUUACUGUUAUUUUUCUAGUCCCAAAGAUGAGGUCAGCUAACUUAUGCUGAGUAAUAUUUUAUUUCCAAAGGAGUGUUUUUUAUUCAACUUUUCACAUUUUGAUUUUGUUCUCUCUGUGGACUAUUGCGCAUUUUCCCAAAUGAGGAAUGUUUGGCAUCUCACUUAAACCGUGGCGUCCAGCAGUCACAGGAAAUGCUGCCUUAUUUGGUGCUUGGAUUAAAAGUGUUCUCAGAGUUCACUGAUUUAUAUCCCUGUCCAGCUGUACCAUAACCUGGUAUAGUUGUAAGAAAUAAAAUUUAAAAAAGGAAGAAAUAGGAAAAAAGAAGACAAGGAGAUGUGUUACUUGUUUGUAAAUGUGAGGUUGAUCCUGUAGCUGUCAACAGUCCUGUUUCUAGGGGUAGCCAUUGCUUGUCCAGUGCUGCCUUGGUUCCGACAUAUCCUAGCUAAGCUCUGCUCCUUGACUUUGACGGUCCACAUAGGCCAACACCCACAGUUAACCCACACUUACUUUCCCACCAUUCCACUUUACACUCUACCAAGCACUUCACUCUGAACUUGCUCAUGUAGUGACUUCUGCUAGGAUUCCUGCCAGUGCUGUUCAUUUACCCAGAUUCUAUCUAAUCUUCAGGGUCCAACUCAAAGCUUACCAGAUCCAUGAAGGCAUCCCCAACUACCUGACUCCUCACUGAUUUCUUCCUUAUUCAACUUGCGUAUCCUUUUCAGCCUGGGCCCUAUAACAGAGUACCCUAUUUUAAUUAAUUGUAGUCACAAUAAUACUUACAAACAUGCACAUAAAGUUCUCUAGCCCCCAGAGGAUUUUCAUGUAUAUUAUUUCUUUGACCUGUGAGGUGGGCAGGUUAGAUUUUUUUUUUUUUUUUUUUUUGAGACGGAGUUUUGCACUGUCACCCAGGCUGGAGUGCAGUGGCACAAUCUCGGCUCACUGCAGCCUCCACCUCCCGGGUUCAAACGAUUCUUCUGCCUCAGCCUCCCGAGUAGCUGGGACUACAGGCGCGUGCCACCACACCCGGUUAAUGUUUUGUAUUUUUAGUAGAGACGGGGUUUCACUGUGUUAGCCGGGAUGGUCUCCAUCUCCUGAUGUCACGAUCCGCCAGCCUCGGCCUCCCAAAGUGCUGGGAUUACAGGCGUGAGCCAUCGCGCCCGGCCAGGUCAGAUCUUUGUAACUCUGUUGUAUACAGUUGCUUGGUCAAGCUCAUAUGGCCAAUGAGACUAAGAACUUGAACACACCAAGUCUACCAGCCCUGUUGCUCACAUAUGGUUUUACGUCACUUAUUUCUUGAAUGUUAAUAUUAAAUGUUAAUAUUAUCUCCUUAAGUAGUCUGUAGUAUUUUUGAUGUUGAGAGAGAUGUCUUUUACUUCAGAACCUGUUAAUGGCGUUUGACCCUGAACCCAGCUCAUUAAAGACUUGGUCCCUAAUAGUAGUAAUGUUUAUUGAAUAUUUACUAUGUGGCAGGCAGUGUGCUGGGCUGCUUUACAAGAAGCAUCUCACACAGUCCUCCGAGCACUUCUGUAAGACAAAGGACAUUAUUAAGUUUAGGUUUAGGGAGGUUUAGCAACUUGCUAAGAUCAGAUAGAUCCAACAGCUAGUAAGCGGCUUUAACUCAUCACAAAGAUUGGUCAUCAUGGGAAAUUUUUUGCCCUAUUUUUAAAAUUCAUAUUUCUACAUAGCUUAAAAGUGGAAGGUAUCGUUGACAGUGGGCUGCAUUGCUGGGUUUGGGGGCAAGGGGAAGAUCUGCUCUGUUGAGAGCUCAAUGCCCAGGGAUGGUAAAUGGAGACUCUGGUGGGGGAGGGAAAGAGCUAGCCCUUUGUCCUGUUGGGAUUCUUUACUUUAGAAAAGAGCAGCCUUAUGUAUCUCUUGCCAGAAUUUCACAUUUUAGUUGGAUUAAAUUAUGUCAGUACCAUCAUAUUCUACUUAAACAAGAGGUACAAUGCCUUUUCUCUUAAGUGUCCUUAGCUCUAGACUCGAAUGGAUGAGAACCCUGGAAAUGUGGCCCCAAGUAGUACAAAGAAAGACUAGAGAUGUCUACACAUUCUUAUGAAUGCGUGUGGGAUUUUCAUUGUGCACAGUAGUGUAUGCCUGUUUGUCUUAAUAGAAAAAUGCUUUUAUAUUCCUUGCUAUUGAGGAAAAAAGAUAUGAUUUUUGGAUAUUUUAAAAAUUGGGUUGAUAAAAAGAGUGCUAAUGCUACAUUAUAAUAAGUUCUGGGUCCAGGCAGCCUCUCUCUCUUUGUUGGUGUUAUAUAUUGAGAACAGAAAUUCAUACACAUAAGUGUUGGGGCAUUCCACACAGGGAGAUAUUCAGCAUGUUGCCAAAGAAGUGGUUCCAUGCUACAUUUUCAGGCAUAGGAAUUACAUAUAGGAAUUUCGGUAGGUAUUUCUUCAUGCUGAGAAGCCAAGUUACUUCUAUAAUAUCAUGGACCCAAAGUGUUUCUGAUUUCAGUAACGACAACUGUUGCUCUUUAUUUUGACCCAUGUAAAUAAUUAUCUUGUCUUCACAUGUAAAUAACCUAACUCAAAGACUUACAGACCUCUGGAUCUGAGCUCUUCAUGAAAAACUCUCAAACCUUUUCAUAUUAGCUCUUCUUUGCAAUGGUGGGUUUCAGCUAUGAAAGAAAAAAGUUUCCUAAAUAAGUCAAUUUCUGAAUAAUAAAAUAAUUCAUUGUAUCCAGGUCUUUACUUUUGUGUUUUGAGAACAUUUGUUUUCUCAUUAAAAAAAAACAAUUCAACAGUAAGUUUAAGAACACUAGUCAUGACCUACCCAGUCCUUCCCCCUCCCCAUAGCUAGUAUUCGAGUGGAUAAAUAAAGCAAGCUUUCCUAGGAGGCACUUUUUAUUGCAAUGUUUCUACAAACUAAUAUUCAACCACUGUCUGCAUUGACUCGUUUCUUUUUUUGAGUGUGUUGUUCUCUACUGAAGCUGUCUGUGCCUUCACCAGCCUCUGUCCAGGCUGCUAUUCUCAAUUUUAACCAUCCGCUCUACAUCUUCAGAGAUGUAAGUACCAUUCUUACUAUGAAUGGAAUGGAAUAAUAAUACUUGAUUAAAUAUUACUCCAUUAAAUAAUUUACAGCUAAGCAUUUUGCACACUAAUAAGCCUUCACAAAUAAUAUUAUAAACAGAACAAGCAAAGAUCAUUAAAUGGACUCAUCACUAAUAUAAAGCCUCCCAGCCAACUGGAAGGUCCUGUGACUAUUCCUUCACUUGUGUCUGUUGAGUAGUUUAAAAUGUGUUGUUUGGUGGUAUUAUUGAUUUUUGGCUUGGCUGUCUCUUUUUGCUCCAAACCAGGAUAGUUUGUGUCUACAUGACAGGGCUUCACCAAAUGUUCUCAUGAAUUGCGCUUCACCUCCUAAAGUGUUUCUGAAACUAACUCCAAAUAAAAUUUCAAGCAACUAAGUACUUCACUAAUUGUUUUCCAAUGAAUUGUUCCAAACCCCAACUUUUCUCUUUUAUUAAAAAACAGCCGGGUGUGGUGGCUCAUGCCUGUAAUCCCAGCACUUUGGGAGGCCAAGGUGGGUGGAUCACUAGGUCAGGAGAUUGAGACCAGUCUGGCCAAUAUGGUAAAACCCUGUCUCUACUAAAAAUACAAAAAUUAGCUGGGCGUAGUGGUGUGCACCUGUAGUCCCAGCUAUUCAGGAGACUGAGGCAGAAGAAUUGCUUGAACCUGGGAGGCAGAGGUUGCAGUGAGCCGAAAUUGUGCUACUGCACUCCAGCCUGGGUGACAGAGCGAGACUCCGUCUCAAAAAAAAAAAAAAAAAAAAAAAAAAAAAAAAUUCUAGUGAUUUUUCUUUAAAAAUGUGCGUAGUUUCUUUAUUAAUAUCAUUGCAAGAAUUUUUUUUUUCAUUCAGCUAAUACUCAGGUUUUUUUCUACCAAUUUUUUCAAAGUGAGGUUUAGGCGCAUUUAUAUAUCCACAGUGAUAAACACUUUAUUUGAUGUAUUUGUUCUACGCAUCUUAGAUUGUGACCAGUUUACUCUAAGUUGGGUUUGGGGUCAUGCUUUUACUGUUGUUGUUACUAUUACUGUUAUCUGUUAUCAAUUUUAUUUUUAACUUUUAAGUUCAGAGAUACAUGUGCAGGAUGUGUAGGUUUGUUACAUAGCUAAAUGUGCGUCAUGGGGGUUUGUUGUACAGAUUACUUCAUCACCCAGGUAUUAAGCCUAGGAUCCAUUAGUUAUUUUUCCUGAUUCUCUUCCUCCUCCCACCCUCUGCCCUUCCAUAGGCCCCUGUGUAUGGUGUUCCCCUCUAUGUAUCCAUGUGUUCUCAUAAUUUAGCUCCCACUUAUAAGUGAGAACAUGCAGUAUUUGGUUUUCUGUUCCUGUGUUAGUUUGCUAAAAAUGGCCUGCAGCUCCAUCCAUGUCCCUGCAAAGCACAUGAUCUUGUUCUUUUUUGGCUGCAUAGUAUUCCAUGGUGUGUAUGUACCACAUUUUCUUUAGUCAGUCUAUCCUUGAUGGGCAUUUGGGUUCCAUGGCUUUGCUAUUGUGAAUAGUGCUGCAAUGAACAUAUGCAUGCAUGUGUCUUUAUAACAGAACGAUUUACAUUCCUUUGGCUAUAUACCCAGUAAUGGGAUUGCUGGGUCGAAUGGUAUUUCUGACUUUAGGUCUUUGAGGAAUUGCCACACUGUCUUCCACAAUGGCUGAACUAAUUUACACUCCCACCAACAGUGUAUAAGCAUUUCUUUUUCUCCACAACCUCACCAGCAUCUGUUAUUUUUUGUCACUUUGAUAAUAGCCAUUCUGACUGGUGUGAGUUGGUGUCUCAUUGUGGCUUUGAUUUACAUUUCUCUAAUGAUCAGUGAUGCUGAGCUUUUAAAAAAUAUGCUUGUUAUUGUCAAUUUUAUAGUAGGGAAAUUUCACUAUAACUUUUGCUGAUGUGGGGUUAUUCCGAAUUUUGCCUAUUAUCGUUCACAUUUUUGGUCAUGUAUACCUCAAAUUUUCAGUCUUUAACAAACAACAUUCCUAUGAGUAAACAUAUUCCUGUUUAAGAAGAAUGAUAUUUGAGUCAAAGUCGUAGUCACAAAGAAAUUAAUACUAAACAGUGUGACUGCCUGGAAGAUAUGCCCGACAAAAUGAAAUACUUAGGAUGUAAAAGUACAGGAGUAGACUUUUGGGUGGCUUAGUAUGGCAGUGUUAGAUGCUUGUCUUUACAGAAGGAAAUGGGAGAAAGUUCAUUGUUUUUAUCAUUUCAUCAUGCUGUGUUAAUACUUGAUAUUUAGAAAAUUGUACGUGUCCAAGAAAAACUGAAAAUAAUCUUAUUAUCCCAUGAUGUUUUUAUAUAAACCUACAGAUCUAGACUUUUACCCAUUGCUAUAUCUGUAAUAAGCAUUAUGGAAUAAUGCUGAUGUUCUUCCAUUCUUUGAUAUGCAUGAGGAUAUUUUUAAAUUUAGAUGUUUUAUAUCCAAAACAGUUCCAGACACUACCCGCAAAAAUAAUCAAGCUUCACGUGGUGAAGAGAACGAGGGAUAUGUUCCUGGGAAAAGCCCUUAGCCAGAAGGCUUAAAACCAGAUAGAAACUUUAAAAAUAGCCUUUUGUGAGGCAAAUGUAACUUGCUGAAAAUCGUCUUGCACAGUUUUGAAACUAGGAUGAACCCCCUGCCACCCAGGAGUCCAGGACCACUCUGUGGUCUGAUGCCAGGAGGAUGUACUUGCAUAUUUCAGAUGCUUCAUAUUUUGUUUUUGAUGUUCUGAGCUGGUAGAGUUGGGUGCAGCUCUUCUUGGAUUGAUAAACCAUGUUCCCAGAUGUUGAAUUCAAGAAGGAAUUUUUAACUCUUCCAUGUUUAAAAAUGAUUUCUAUGGCUGAGAGCUAAUACACUCCCUCAAAUCAAUUUGGGAAAUUUUUUUGAGAAGAAAUUGAGUCUUUUUCACAUUUGAGUAACUUUAUACACGACGCGCAACAUGCCCUGUAAAUAUAGAUAGGCCACCUACAAAGUGCACUGGGUGAUAUUUUAUACUGCAGAUGUUCUAGUUUGCACCUGAUGAAACAUGUAAAAUGCUUAUCAAAAAAAAUGAAUUAUACAGUCCCACACAACCGUUUGCUUGGUAUUUGCUAAAUUUGAUUCGGCCUUUAGAUGAUAAAAAUGAACCAGUCCACAGUAAACACUUAAUGUGAAAAGAGAUAACGGCAAACUGGAAACUUUCUUAUCCUGUCAUUUUGAUCCAUUUUUGAAAGAAAGCAUCCUGACAGCAACAAGGAAAUACCAGCUUGGAAUUCAUACCUAUUUGAUUUGGCAAAUGUGAAUAAACUAUUCUUUCAGAGGAUCCAGGAAGUGAAAACAUGGGCCAGUGACUGAAAAACCACCUUAGAGAUUAUCUGAUUAACUCUCUCAUUGUACAGAUGGGGAAACUGAUGCUCAGAGGUGUCUAAUGAGCUUCUAGGAACAAGUGAGGGUGGGGGCUGAAAGUCAAAAUAAAUACCCUGACUUAUCUUACCAUUCCAUCUCCUGCUGGUCAAAUCCAGCUGGAAACCAAAGGGCAAGGGCUCCUUUCUGGGACAUAGAAUGGGACAAAUAAUGGCAGAGAAUAGAUCCGGGAAGGCAGAGAACAAUCAACACAGUGAUUACAGAAUAAAAAGAUCCUUUAGGAAUGCAGUCAUCUGUUUAUUCAGUAAAUUUCCGUAUCUUACUAAUCACAACAGCAUCCACGUACACUUAAAAUAGUGCCUAUAUGUAUGUGUGAUACUUGUUUACAUAACAAGCUUGCUGAUGUUUGGUGCAGUGUAUGGGUUCAGGCUUCUCUGACAACAAUACCAAGACCUUCCGGGGAUCCACGGUCUUCUGCAUGGGGGAUUUCUGCAGAAGGAAAUAUAACACUCAAUGGACAAAUCCCCAGCUGGAAGAGGUCUCUGUUUAUUAGUACUGCUUUUUGAAUAUAAAAUCAACUCUAUCUUUUAGGAAGAUAGCUAAAUGUUGCUGGAAGUUGGAAUGAGAGUUUUAAUUACGAGCUAGACACUGUAUGAGACAUCUUUCCUGUGCUGCCUCAGGUCCUCUUGACUGUAAUCAACUCAGGAGUCUUGGCUCAGUCCCUGUGAAAACUGUCCUCAUGUGGACAAAUGCCACAGCUCCUAGCCUCAUGUCUGCCACCCUGGGGCUCCCUGUUGACUCUGAGGGGCAAGACUCCCAGGACCCCAUGGAUGCUCAGCCAUGUGCAACCAGGAGGGUAGGGAGGUGGCACUGCUGGGAGAUGGGAAUUAGUGAAGUUCUUUUGCUUACCCCUCUCUGAACGGACUGUCCUGAUGCUGCCUUUAUGAUGGUUCCUCAUGAUCCCAGGCUCAGUUGCACUGGACGCCAAGCAGAGGUCAGUUGGGGAACAUGCCCCAUCCUGUUUUCUCUCCCUCCUUCCCUGCCGCACUCUCCAUUGCUCUCCACCCUGAAUAAAGUAGUGGCUCUGCUUCAGGGAACCCAGGCUGAGAUAGAUACCAGGGCCUCCCUUUUGGGGGUUCUCUUUUGAGGUCCAGUUUUCAAAGGAACUGAUUGGGCAACUGCAAAAUGAGUAUGUGAAGACAUUAAGUGGACCAAUUUGUAAUUCGAUUAUUAUAAUUAUCUGGAUACCUCUUUGGCUCAAAAGGCAAAUGUUGAUCUGUUUUAAGAACAGAGAAUCAUAACGCGUAGAGCCCUAACCUGCCUUCCUAGCCUCACCUGAUGCCUUCUCAACCCUCAUCUAGGGCUUAUUCCUUUCCUUUAUGACUUGCCAGGAACAAGGGAAGAAUAGGAAAAGUCAAAAUAAAUACCCUGGCUUCUCUUGCCAUUUCAUCUCCUGCUUGCUGCUAGCUUCCUUCUGACAAGGGAGAAGUAACUGGGAUUCACUUUUCCAUUUUCCUAGCUGGAUGAUCCCUCCCUGACAAUCCAGAAUGAGAUGAUGGUGCCCGGGCAUGGGGGGAGUAUCCACGUGUGCUGAUACCUCCUCACCUACCCUUCCCCAGAGUAGAUACACAUUGCCCCCAAAGAACAUUUCACAGUUCUUUAUUUCCAGCAGUAGAUGGAAUCGGGAGAAGUGUAUUGGAAGUUUUGCUUGGGAUCCAGCUGCCUUAGUCUCCCCUACUGUGUCUUGUUACUACAUAGUGCUGGUGACCAUGGGCAACAGUGUAUGAGACAUGUCUGUAGCCUUAGGCCUGGUGCUGGCACAGCAGGUCCUCUGUUCCUGGCUAAGUAGCUUCAAAGCUGGCUCUCCUGGAGGUUCUGCGAGCUGCCUGAUGUCCUUUAAAUAUAUUUUCCCCUGGAACCAGCUAGGGUGGGUUCUAUUUGCAACAGACCAAGAGAGCACUUUUAAAAUCCUUGAAAUUUUAUGCGAAGUCCCAGGCUUUCAUUUGUAUGUCAUUUAGAUUUUUUUUUUCCCCUCUGUUUGUCCUGUUAGUGUCUCUUUGGGAUCUCCACAUCUAUCAACGGAUUGCUUGCAUUGCUUUUAAAAACUGUUGUUUACAAUGACAUUCAACACUUGUAAAAGUUAUUUGCUGCCAAGAGGAAACUAAAUGCAUUGUAAUUAAAUUUAUUUCAGGCUUUGAUUACUAAGAAGUGCAGAGAUACAUCAUUCACUUGUGCUUAAUUUAAAAAGUAUUUUGGUCAUAAUACAUAAAUUAGUUACCUUUGUAGUUUGCUUAUAACCCAUAAGACACUCAACUGGAUAAAAAGCUGCUGGCUACAAAUAAGUAACCUUGUCAUCACAUGCUAAAGGUGGCUAAUAGGUUUGUCCCUACUGCCAACUAUAAUCAACUUAUUUUUAACAUGUAUAGUCACAUUGUAAUUGAUGUCUGGAAACCUGGUUUCCUUUUUUCCUUUUUUUUUUUUUUUUUGUUAACUUUUAUUUAUAGACACAUGCAUAUAAUUUAAAAGUCAAAUAGCCCAAAAAGACUUAUAAUGAAAAACAUAUUCCCCCAAAUUCCAUCCCACUCCCCAGAGGCAAGUGUCUUCUGGCAUUUACCUUAAUUUUUCUAGACAAUGUGAAUUAUCCAGUUAGGAUAUUCCUUCUUGACUUCUUGUAAGGUAACUGGAUUGAGCACUCCUAUAUCAACCACUCCCCCAGCUUCACUUUGGCACCCUAAUCACCCCCAUGUAGUUACAACUGAACUUUUAAAUAGUUAUUGUUUACAUUAUGACUAUGGAAAAAAUAGUUCACUACAGUUCUUUCAUAUGUUAUCACAUAUAUCACUUUCUAAACAUUUCUAUAUAUCUGUAUUAGUCAGGGUUCUCCAGAGAAACAAAACCAAUAGUAUGCAUAUAUAGAAAUAGGUUCAUUAUAAGGAACAGGCUCACAUAGUUAGGGAGGCUGAGAAGUCCCAAGAUCUACAUUUGGCAAGUUGGAGACCCAGGAGAGUCGAUGUUGUGUUCCAGUCUGAAAGCCUGAAGUCUUGAGACCCAGCCAAUAAUUCAGUUCAAGUCUGAAGGCAGGAAGAGACAAAUUCCAACACAAGCAAUCAGGCAGGAGGAGUUCCCUCUUACUUGAGGGAGGGUCAGCCUUUUUGUUCUAUUCUGGCCUUAAGCUGAUUGGAUGAUGCCCACCCACCUUGAGGAGGGCCGUCUGCUUUAUUCAGUCUACUGAUUCCAAUGUUAAUCUUGUCCAGAAACACCCUCAAAGACACACAUAUUAUUACCAGAAUAAUGCUUGACCAAAUAUCUGGGCACCCUAUGACCCAGUGAAGUUGACACAUAAAAUUAAUCACUGCAAUAUCUUUCUGACAUCUAUCCAUUUUUCUGAGUACUCAAA